UGCGAAGGGGGCUAGCGUUGCUCGGAAUUACUGGGCGUAAAGGGCGCGUAGGCGGGUCGUUAAGUUGGGGGUGAAAGCCCAGGGCUCAACCCUGGAAUUGCCUUCAAUACUGGCGACCUUGAGUAUGGCAGAGGUGUGUGGAACUCCGAGUGUAGAGGUGAAAUUCGUAGAUAUUCGGAAGAACACCAGUGGCGAAGGCGACACACUGGGCCAUUACUGACGCUGAGGCGCGAAAGCGUGGGGAGCAAACAGG
rnacentral:rRNA from 1 species